UGGCGGUCCCGGGGGUGUCCCUGGGGCGUCGCGGCCGCCCCGAGCACCCGAGCCCUGCGGCUGCCCCCGGAUCCCUGGCAGUGCCCAAGGCCGGGCUGGACGCGGCUUGGAGCGCCCUGGGACAGUGGGAGCUGUCCCUGGCCGCGGCAGGGGGUGGAUCGAUGGCCCUUGAGGCCCCUUCCAAGGCAGAGCGUCCCGUGGCUCUGUGAGGCUGCGGCUGCGGAAACGCGCUGGGUGCCUGCGCGCCCAGGGAUGUCCUUGCUUUGUCCCCAGGGAGGCACCAGCCCCCUCGCUGCGGUGGGUUGGGGUCGUGAGUGGGGUGUGUGGGGGAGGCUCGUGUCACUGCAGCUGUCCCAGGAGAGCGGGGGGAUUCAGCUGCCCCUGGAGCUGGGGAGGUCAGGCCUGAGCCCCUGCCCCAGCAGGGCCACCCACAGCCCCCUUGGCCAGGGCUGUGGCCGCACAGAUUUUGAGUUUUUCCAACAACCACGGCUCCACUGUUGCCAGAGAUCUUUCUCCUGUCCGCUGCAGCGCUGGCAAACGAUUUAAAUAUUGCCUUGAGCCUCACUGGGCACUUGUGUCCCUUCCUGAUAUUUCCACCAGGUUUGCUUCUUGUCCAGCUCUCCCUUCAGGUCACCCGGCAAGGGAGGAAAUGGCAUUUUCAGGGGCCUGGAGGGGAGCCACGCCGGCUGAUGGCACCUCAGGGAAGGAACUCAAGGAAUCCCUGGCUCAACCUCUGUCACCAGAGGGCAGGAGACCUCUCCCAUAAAGCUGCCAGUCGGGAAAAGUGCUGGAAUUGCUGGCUUUUUAAAGAAAAAACGACACAUGUAUCUCUUGCACCUGCGGGAGGUUUUGGAUGUGGUGUUUCCUCCCUGGCAUCGGGAAAAGGGCUGGAAUUGCUGGGUUUUU